rnacentral:rRNA from 1 species
GGAGCACGCUUAGGCGUGUGACUGCGUACCUUUGUAUAAUGGGUCAGCGACUUAUAUUCUGUAGCAAGGUUAACCGAAUAGGGGAGCCGAAGGGAAACCGAGUCUUAACUGGGCGUUAAGUUGCAGGGUAUAGACCCGAAACCCGGUGAUCUAGCCAUGGGCAGGUUGAAGGUUGGGUAACACUAACUGGAGGACCGAACCGACUAAUGUUGAAAAAUUAGCGGAUGACUUGUGGCUGGGGUGAAAGGGCCAAUCAAACCGGGAGAUAGCUGGUUCUCCCCGAAAGCUAUUUAGGUAGCGCCUCGUGAAUUCAUCUCCGGGGUAGAGCACUGUUUCGGCAAGGGGGUCAUCCCGACUUACCAACCCGAUGCAAACUGCGAAUACCGGAGAAUGUUAUCACGGGAGACACACGGCGGGUGCUAACGUCCGUCGUGAAGAGGGAAACAACCCAGACCGCCAGCUAAGGUCCCAAAGUCAUGGUUAAGUGGGAAACGAUGUGGGAAGGCCCAGACAGCCAGGAUGUUGGCUUAGAAGCAGCCAUCAUUUAAAGAAAGCGUAAUAGCUCACUGGUCGAGUCGGCCUGCGCGGAAGAUGUAACGGGGCUAAACCAUGCACCGAAGCUGCGGCAGCGACGCUGAUGCGUUGUUGGGUAGGGGAGCGUUCUGUAAGCCUGCGAAGGUGUGCUGUGAGGCAUGCUGGAGGUAUCAGAAGUGCGAAUGCUGACAUAAGUAACGAUAAAGCGGGUGAAAAGCCCGCUCGCCGGAAGACCAAGGGUUCCUGUCCAACGUUAAUCGGGGCAGGGUGAGUCGACCCCUAAGGCGAGGCCGAAAGGCGUAGUCGAUGGGAAACAGGUUAAUAUUCCUGUACUUGGUGUUACUGCGAAGGGGGGACGGAGAAGGCUAUGUUGGCCGGGCGACGGUUGUCCCGGUUUAAGCGUGUAGGCUGGUUUUCCAGGCAAAUCCGGAAAAUCAAGGCUGAGGCGUGAUGACGAGGCACUACGGUGCUGAAGCAACAAAUGCCCUGCUUCCAGGAAAAGCCUCUAAGCAUCAGGUAACAUCAAAUCGUACCCCAAACCGACACAGGUGGUCAGGUAGAGAAUACCAAGGCGCUUGAGAGAACUCGGGUGAAGGAACUAGGCAAAAUGGUGCCGUAACUUCGGGAGAAGGCACGCUGAUAUGUAGGUGAAGUCCCUCGCGGAUGGAGCUGAAAUCAGUCGAAGAUACCAGCUGGCUGCAACUGUUUAUUAAAAACACAGCACUGUGCAAACACGAAAGUGGACGUAUACGGUGUGACGCCUGCCCGGUGCCGGAAGGUUAAUUGAUGGGGUUAGCGCAAGCGAAGCUCUUGAUCGAAGCCCCGGUAAACGGCGGCCGUAACUAUAACGGUCCUAAGGUAGCGAAAUUCCUUGUCGGGUAAGUUCCGACCUGCACGAAUGGCGUAAUGAUGGCCAGGCUGUCUCCACCCGAGACUCAGUGAAAUUGAACUCGCUGUGAAGAUGCAGUGUACCCGCGGCAAGACGGAAAGACCCCGUGAACCUUUACUAUAGCUUGACACUGAACAUUGAGCCUUGAUGUGUAGGAUAGGUGGGAGGCUUUGAAGUGUGGACGCCAGUCUGCAUGGAGCCGACCUUGAAAUACCACCCUUUAAUGUUUGAUGUUCUAACGUUGACCCGUAAUCCGGGUUGCGGACAGUGUCUGGUGGGUAGUUUGACUGGGGCGGUCUCCUCCUAAAGAGUAACGGAGGAGCACGAAGGUUGGCUAAUCCUGGUCGGACAUCAGGAGGUUAGUGCAAUGGCAUAAGCCAGCUUGACUGCGAGCGUGACGGCGCGAGCAGGUGCGAAAGCAGGUCAUAGUGAUCCGGUGGUUCUGAAUGGAAGGGCCAUCGCUCAACGGAUAAAAGGUACUCCGGGGAUAACAGGCUGAUACCGCCCAAGAGUUCAUAUCGACGGCGGUGUUUGGCACCUCGAUGUCGGCUCAUCACAUCCUGGGGCUGAAGUAGGUCCCAAGGGUAUGGCUGUUCGCCAUUUAAAGUGGUACGCGAGCUGGGUUUAGAACGUCGUGAGACAGUUCGGUCCCUAUCUGCCGUGGGCGCUGGAGAACUGAGGGGGGCUGCUCCUAGUACGAGAGGACCGGAGUGGACGCAUCACUGGUGUUCGGGUUGUCAUGCCAAUGGCACUGCCCGGUAGCUAAAUGCGGAAGAGAUAAGUGCUGAAAGCAUCUAAGCACGAAACUUGCCCCGAGAUGAGUUCUCCCUGACUCCUUGA